rnacentral:rRNA from 1 species
CCCCUAGAUGUUCUGGGCCGCACGCGCGCUACACUGAACAGUUCAACAAGUCUUAACCUUGACCGAUAGGUCUGGGUAAUCUUUGAACGCUGUUCGUGAUUGGGAUAGACCUUUGCAAUUAUGGGUCUUCAACGAGGAAUUCCUAGUAAACGCAAGUCAUCAGCUUGCAUUGAUUACGUCCCUGCCCUUUGUACACACCGCCCGUCGCACCUACCGAUUGAAUGGUCCGGUGAAAUCUCGGGACGGCGGCUUGGUCGCUUGCGUCCGACUGCUGAAACUUGAUUAAACCAUAUCAUUUAGAGGAAGGUGAAGUCGUAACA